rnacentral:rRNA from 1 species
CGGUUGAUCCUGCCGGACNUUACUGCUAUCGGGGUGGGNNUAAGCCAUGCAAGUUGCGCGCUUNUAAGCUAUAGUAGAGGAGCAGCGUAAGGCUCAGUAAAACAUGGUUAACUUGCCCUCGAGACAGGAAUACCCCCGGGAAACUGGGGAUAAAUCCCGAUAGGCGAGAUGGCUUGGAAUGGUAUCUCGUCUAAAAAACGUUAAGACCAUGCUUCUUUUCGUUGCUCGAGGAUAGGACCAUGUCCGAUCAGGCUGUUGGCGAGGUAACGGCUCACCAAGCCUAUAACCGGUACGGGCCGUGAGAGCGGUAGCCCGGAGAUGGGUACUGAGACAAGGACCCAGGCCCUACGGGGCGCAGCAGUCGCGAAAACUCCGCAAUGCACGAAAGUGUGACGGGGCUACCCCGAGUGCCAUCCGCUGAGGAUGGCUCUUCUUUGGGAUAACUAGCCAGGGGAAUAAGGAGAGGGCAAGACUGGUGUCAGCCGCCGCGGUAAUACCAGCUCUCCGAGUGGUAGGGAUGUUUAUUGGGCUUAAAGCGUCCGUAGCCGGCUUAGCAAGUCUCCUGUUAAAUUCAGCGACCUAAUCGUUGACCCGCGGGAGAUACUACUAAGCUAGGAGGCGGGAGAGGUCGACGGUACUUCUGGGGUAGGGGUGAAAUCCUAUAAUCCCGGGAGGACCACCAGUGGCGAAGGCUGUCGACUAGAACGCGCUCGACGGUGAGGGACGAAAGCUGGGGGAGCGAACCGGAUUAGAUACCCGGGUAGUCCCAGCCGUAAACGAUGCGGGCUAGGUGUUGGGAUGGCUACGUGCCAUUUCAGUGCCGCAGGGAAGCCAUUAAGCCCGCCGCCUGGGGAGUACGGCCGCAAGGCUGAAACUUAAAGGAAUUGGCGGGGGAGCAC